GGACUACUGGGGUAUCUAAUCCCGUUCGCUCCCCUAGCUUUCGCGCCUCAGCGUCAGAAGAGGUCCAGCACGUCGCUUUCGCCACCGGCGUUCCUUCCGAUAUCAACGCAUUUCACCGCUCCACCGGAAGUUCCACAUGCCCCUACCUCCCUCGAGACAGCCAGUUUCAAAGGCAAUUUUCCGGUUGAGCCGAAAGAUUUCACCCCUGACUUGGCCGCCCGCCUACGCGCCCUUUAAGCCCAGUGAUUCCGAACAACGUUUGCACGGUUCGUCUUACCGCGGCUGCUGGCAC
rnacentral:rRNA from 1 species